GUCUCCCGUCUAAUGGGGGGUAAACGGCGGCCCUAUUCUGAGGGUCCUAAGGUAGCAUAAUAAGUUGGCGUUUAAUUGGCGUCUGGAAUGAAAGGGCACACGUAGGAGCAACUGUCUCAUGCUUAACCAUUGAAACUAACUUGCAGGUGAAAAGGCCUACAUGAGUAAGAGGGACGACAAGACCCUACGAAGCUUUUACGGUCACUUUCGUUUUGAAGUUAGCGGUAGUGAAGUUUUGUUGGGGCAACAGGGGGGAAAUGUGCCACCCGAUUUAAUCCUAGAUUUAGUAAUUGAAUUGGUGAAUUUUUUGUCUUACAUGAAAUAGCCACUAUUAAAGUGAAAACGAUUAAGUUACUCUAGGGAUAACAGCUCAAUACCCUCAUAGAGUUCCUAUCGAAGAGGGUGCUUGAGACCUCGAUGUCGGCUUAGCGUAACCUCCAGGCGGAGCGGCUUGG
rnacentral:rRNA from 1 species